rnacentral:rRNA from 1 species
CCAUGCAUGUCUCAGUACUAACCGCUUUAAGGCGAAACCGCGAAUGGCUCAUUAAAUCAGUUAUGGUUCCUUGGAUCUUACCCACAUUUACAUGGAUAACUGUGGUAAUUCUAGAGCUAAUACAUGAACCUCGUACCCCGACCAGUGAUGGAAGGGGCGCUUUUAUUAGAACAAAACCAAUCGGUCGGCUCGUCCGUCCGUUGCCUUGGUGACUCUGAAUAACUUUUGGCUGAUCGCACGGUCCUGGCACCGGCGACGCAUCUUUCAAAUGUCUGCCUUAUCAACUUUCGAUGGUAGGUUCUGCGCCUACCAUGGUUGUAACGGGUGACGGGGAAUCAGGGUUCGAUCCCGGAGAGGGAGCCUGAGAAACGGCUACCACAUCCAAGGAAGGCAGCAGGCGCGCAAAUUACCCACUCCCGGAACGGGGAGGUAGUGACGAAAAAUAACGAUACGGGACUCAUCCGAGGCCCCGUAAUCGGAAUGAGAACACUUUAAAUCCUUUAACGAGGAUCUAUUGGAGGGCAAGUCUGGUGCCAGCAGCCGCGGUAAUUCCAGCUCCAAUAGCGUAUAUUAAAGUUGUUGCGGUUAAAAAGCUCGUAGUCGGAGGUGUGUCUCGGACGGUCGGUUCGCCGCUUGUCGGUGCUCAACUGGCCGGUCCGGACGUCCUGCCGGUGGGGCCGCAAGGCCCCGUCAUCCUUCUUUGGUCCUCUUCACCGAGUGCCUUGGUGGGCCGGCACGUUUACUUUGAACAAAUUAGAGUGCUCAAAGCAGGCCGUUGGUCGCCUGAAUACUGUGUGCAUGGAAUAAUGGAAUAGGACCUCGGUUCCAUUUUGUUGGUUUUCAGAACUCGAGGUU